CAGAUGAAGAUGUAGAACUCUCAGCUUCUCCUGCACCAUCUGCUUAUCUGGAUGUUGCCAUGUUCCUGCCUUGAUGAUCAUGGAUGGAAUCUCUGAACCUAUGAUGUCACUAUGCCACUAAUACCACCAGGAGGCUGUGAUACUGGAUUUCAUGGAAUGGAUCUGAGAAUAGAGGACAUGAUGGUUGGCUUUACCCGAAGCUGGCGUGGAAAGGAAAUAUUUUCAUCCCAACGAGGAGAAAGAAAGGUAUGUCUGUGCACCGUGUAUGUGCCUGGUGCCUUUGGAGACCAGAAGACGACACUGGAACCUCUGGAACUGGAGUUACAGCUUGUAAACUGCCCUGUGGGUCCCGGGAAUUGAACCUGUGUCUCCUGGAAGGACAGCUCGUGCUCUUAAUCACUGAGCUGUCUCUGUAGCCUACCCUCUGCCUCCAAACUGUUUGUCUUUGGUUUUCUCAGCUACACUAUGCUUUCUUUACUAUGAUAAUUAAAUAGGAAGUUGUAUAUAAAA
rnacentral:lncRNA from 1 species